AUUGAACGCUGGCGGCAGGCCUAACACAUGCAAGUCGAACGGUAGCACAGAGAGCUUGCUCUCGGGUGACGAGUGGCGGACGGGUGAGUAAUGUCUGGGAAACUGCCCGAUGGAGGGGGAUAACUACUGGAAACGGUAGCUGAUACCGCAUAACGUCGCAAGACCAAAGUGGGGGACCUUCGGGCCUCACACCAUCGGAUGUGCCCAGAUGGGAUUAGCUAGUAGGUGGGGUAAUGGCUCACCUAGGCGACGAUCCCUAGCUGGUCUGAGAGGAUGACCAGCCACACUGGAACUGAGACACGGGCCAGACUCCUACGGGAGGCAGCAGUGGGGAAUAUUGCACAAUGGGCGCAAGCCUGAUGCAGCCAUGCCGCGUGUAUGAAGAAGGCCUUCGGGUUGUAAAGUACUUUCAGCGGGGAGGAAGGCGGUGAAGUUAAUAACUUCACCGAUUGACGUUACCCGCAGAAGAAGCACCGGCUAACUCCGUGCCAGCCGCCGCAGUAA
rnacentral:rRNA from 1 species